GGCUGGUUAGCUAAGUUGUGACAGCGUCGCGCUAGAAACGCGCAUGUCGUGGGUUCGAUCUCAUACUGGUGU
rfam:Biomphalaria glabrata isolate BB02 unplaced genomic scaffold LGTN_random_Scaffold43, whole genome shotgun sequence.